UGUUUGAGGAUUGAAUGUGAUGAUUGUAUUGAUUGGGGUUAUUGUAUAUGAGGUUGAUAUUUAUAUAUUUGGGAGAUGUAUUGAGUUAGGGAAAGGCUUAAGGCCUAUGUGUGCCGGUGUAACGUGGUGGAAUGACAUAUAUGUAUGUCUCGGGCGUUAUAUCGUUUCUUGUUGGGUUAUGUGGCAAUCAUUUGAGUUGGCAUGAUUCAUCGCCGAAGCGGGCAUGCGGCGUGCCUGUAAAUGAAGUAACGUAGAUGCGUGAUGUCGUGGAGACAACGUGGAACGUAUGAACAUGGUGGCGGAUCAAGCGAGAACCAAUGUCGGUAACUUGAUUGCGUGAAGGCGUGAGACAGCGUGAUGUCGUUGAGACAACGCAACAUGAAAGUUCUCGCGCGACAACAUGAAGAACGCGGGUACCGAUUUAGGUGGCGUGGUCUCAUUGUUGGCACCGCCGGGGUUUAUCCUCGUUUCUUGUUGAUUGCUUUCGAUUUACUGAAUGUUAAAGUUAGAUGCUUAUGCUAUGUUGUGUGAUGAUUGUUGGUGAUUGAUUUCGGGGCUCCUAGAGCUUCGCUCACUAAGCUUUUGUCGAAAUGCUCACCCCUCCUUCUUUCCUUUUCAUUUCAGGUUCGGCUCACAUUGGUGGGUUUUUUUGUCAAAGACGUCCUGGGAUCCUAAAGACACAUUGUUUCGGCCUUGUGGCUGGAGACAAGUGUCAUGAUAUCGCCGACCAUUUCAGCUAUGCUGGGUCGGGGUGCCACAAGUGGUAUCAGAGCCAAGGAAAGACUCCCUAGUCCUAACCUAGAGGGUUAGUCUCGACUCAAAGCAAUAUGAAUUGAACAAGUUCCUAAUCUCUUACUUAAUGGUUGAGUUUUCCCCUUGCUCCAUUUGGAAUUCGGGGCGAAUUCCUAGUUAAAUGGGGUAGAGUUGUCACAUCCCGGUUCUCCCAAACCGGAAUGAUUUUGUUUUUCUUGAUUACUUUUCUUGAUUAUUAACUUGAUUUAGACCAAAGCCCAUUAGCUUUUAUCCUUCUUUUCUGGCCCGUGUAGUAAACCCUAAGGUUUCCUCUUCUUUUCCUAUAAAAAGGAGUCUCCUCCUUCUCUUCUCUCCCAUUAGAAAUCAGAGCGAAGCCUUGCAGAGUUCCAGAGAGAUCUGAAAGCCUUAGCCGUCAAGGUUUCUCUUUUCUUCUCUCUCGUUCUCUCUCACUUGCGUCUCUCUCUCUCUCUCUCUCUCCUUGGUGUUCGCCAUUUGCUGAAGGCUGGAGCCAAGCCGUUGGAGAUCCCCGAUGAACCGAUCCAAUUCUAUGUCCAGAUCUCUCUUUGUCUUCUUUCUAGAUCUGGUCGCUGGUGAGGUAAGGAACCCUAGUUCUCGUUUCCUCCAUCUCUUUGUUCUCUUUUAUCUUGGAUCUCUCAUCCCGGAUUCUUUGGUGGUAGCACCAAUCCUUUUUGUUGUAGAUCUGGUUCGUGGAAAGCCAUAAGCUUCAGAUCUGGUUCUACUCUCUUUUCCAUUCUCAGAUCUAAGGCCAAGGUGAGGGCUUGUUGCAAUCUCUAUCUCCUUCUAUCAUUAUCUCAUCAUGGUAGAAGUGUCUAGGUUGAUCAUUCAUCCCUACUUGUUACUUUCUAUAGAUCUAUUAAUAUAAAUAAAUAUUCAUAUGAUAUAUAUAAAUAUCUUGAUGCUUGAUGUGUGAAAAACAUAGAUCUAUUGCUAAGGUUGUUAAAAUAUGGUUGAAUGAUGUUUGAGGAUUGAAUGUGAUGAUUGUAUUGAUUGGGGUUAUUGUAUAUGAGGUUGAUAUAUAUAUUUGGGAGAUGUAUUGAGUUAGGGAAAGGCUUAAGGCCUAUGUGUGCCGGUGUAACGUGGUGGAAUGACAUAUAUGUAUGUCUCGGGCGUUACAUCGUUUCUUGUUGGGUCAUGUGGCAAUCGUUUGAGUUGGCAUGAUUCAUCGCCGGAGCGGGCAUGCGGCGUGCCUGUAAAUGAAGUAACGUAGAAGCGUGAUGUCGUGGAGACAACGUGGAACGUAUGAACAUGGUGGCGGAUCAAGCGUGAACCGGUGUCGGUAACUUGAUUGCGUGAAGGCGUGAGACAGCGGGAUGUCGUGGAGACAACGCAACAUGAAAGUUCUCGCGCGACAACAUGAGGAACGCGGGUACCGAUUUAGGUGGCGUGGUCUCAUUGUUGGCACCGCCGGGGUUUAUCCUCGUUUCUUGUUGAUUGCUUUCGAUUUACUGAAUGUUAAAGUUAGAUGCUUAUGCUAUGUUGUGUGAUGAUUGUUGGUGAUUGAUUUCGGGGCUCCUGGAGCUUCCCUCACUGAGCUUUUGUCGAAAUGCUCACCCCUCCUUCUUCCCUUUUCAUUUCAGGUUCGGCUCAUAUUGGUGGGUUUUUGUCAAAGACGUCCUGGGAUCCUAAAGACACAUUGUUUCGGCCUUGUGGCUGGAGACAAGUGUCAUGAUAUCGCCGACCAUUUCAGCUAUGCUGGGUCGGGGUGUCACAAGUGGUAUCAGAGCCCAGGAAAGACUCUCUAGUCCUAACCUAGAGGGUCAGUCUCGACUCAAACCAAUAUGAAUUGAACAAGUUCCUAAUCUCUUACUUAAUGGUUGAGUUUUCCCCUUGCUCCGUUUGGAAUUCGGGGCGAAUUCCCAGUUAAGUGGGGUAGAGUUGUCACAUCCCGGUUCUCCCAAACCGGAAUGGUUUUGUUUUUCUUGAUUAUUAACUUGAUUUAGACCAAAGCCCAUUAGCUUUUAUCCUUCUUUUCUGGCCCGUGUAGUAAACCCUAAGGGUUCCUCUUCUUUUCCUAUAAAAAGGAGCCUCCUCCUUCUCUUCUCUCCCAUUAGAAAUCAGAGCGAAGCCUUGCAGAGUUCCAGAGAGAUCUGAAAACCCUAGCCGUCAAGGUUUCUCUUUUCUUCUCUCUCGUUCUCUCUCGCCUGCGUCUCUCUCGCCUGCGUCUGUCUCUCUCUCUCUCUCUCUCUCCUUGGUGUUCGCCGUUUGCUGAAGGCUGGAGCCAAGCCGUUGGAGAUCCCCGAUGAACCGAUCCAAUUCUAUGUCCAGAUCUCUCCUUGUCUUCUUUCUAGAUCUGGUCGCUGGUGAGGUAAGGAACCCUAGUUCUCGUUUCCUCCAUCUCUUUGUUCUCUUUUAUCUUGGAUCUCUCAUCCCGGAUUCUUUGGUGGUAGCACCAAUCCUUUUUGUUGUAGAUCUGGUUCGUGGAAAGCCAUAAGCUUCGGAUCUGGUUCUACUCUCUUUUCCAUUCUCAGAUCUAAGGCCAAGGUGAGGGCUUGUUGCAAUCUCUAUCUCCUUCUAUUAUUAUCUCAUCAUGGUAGAAGUGUCUAGGUUGAUCAUUCAUCCUUAUUUGUUACUUUCUAUAGAUCUACUAAUAUAAAUAACUAUACAUAUGAUAUAUAUAAAUAUCUUGAUGCUUGAUGUGUGAAAAACAUAGAUCUAUUGCUAAGGUUGUUAAAAUAUGGUUGAAUGAUGUUUGAGGAUUGAAUGUGAUGAUUGUAUUGAUUGGGGUUAUUAUUAUAAGAGGAUGAUAUCUUUAUAAUUGGGAGAUGUAAAUGAGUAAGAGAAAGGCUUUAAGGCCUAUGUGUGCCGGUGUAACGUGGUGGAAUGACAUAUAUGUAUGUCUCGGGCGUUACAUCGUUUCUUGUUGGGUUAUGUGGCAAUCAUUUGAGUUGGCAUGAUUCAUCGCCGAAGCGGGCAUGCGGCGUGCCUGUAAAUGAAGUAACGUAGAAGCGUGAUGUCGUGGAGACAACGUGGAACGUAUGAACAUGGUGGCGGAUCAAGCGAGAACCAAUGUCGGUAACUUGAUUGCGUGAAGGCGUGAGACAGCGUGAUGUCGUGGAGACAACGCAACAUGAAAGUUCUCGCGCGACAACAUGAGGAACGCGGGUACCGAUUUAGGUGGCGUGGUCUCAUUGUUGGCACC
rnacentral:lncRNA from 1 species